UGACCGGUGAACUUCGCAUUUUUUAUGGUCCAAUUUUCGAGGCGAUCAUUCUCUCCAUUUUCCUUAUCUCUUCAUUUCUCUUCUACGCAAGAGAGAGACUACAUCUAUUUUCUUCUUCUCCGCUUACUUCCAUCACCACCACACCAUUUCCUUCACCACUACAUAUCACAUAACCACCAUCAACUACUUCCAUCAUCAUAACAGCACCUUCUCCCUUGAUUUAGUUUGCAUACACAUAAUCAACGGAAACCCACAAGAACCCUAGAAUAUAAAUCUGGAUUGUUUCUACCUCACAGAUUGAAACUCAUUGUUAGAAACCAAAGCUUAUCCUAACCCAUAUCUCAAAAUCAAGACCCAUGCAUCAGCAGAAAUCAAAAGGAAACUUUGUAAUCCUAGAUCUAUUUGUUUUGCUCUUGAAAACACCAAGUAAGGUGUUCUUUCUCUAUUUUUCCUUACAAGAGAACUCAACUCAACAAGGAUAGAAGAUCUGUUCUCCUAAGAAAUAAAACCCCUAAAUCUAAUUUAGAACAUAAGUAUAAAUCAAUUUGAUUUUUAUCCCGAACUGACAGUUUUUUUUUUCCGAGUCUUUUAGGUUGAGGAAAACAUCUGCAAAUUUGCAAAGAAGGAUUUAAUCCCAUCAUAGAUUGGUAUUAAUUUCAGGAUUUAGAUUACCAUAUGAAGGAGGUGUGUUUUGUAUUUUUCUUGGUAUUACAUUUCUAGAUGAUUAUUCAUUCAAAACCCAAGGUAUACUUGAUUUCCCUAUUCUUUGAGAAAUAGUAAUUUAUAGUUCAUUUUCAAUAACAUGACAAUUUAUGUUUUCCGGUUGACGAGUUUAAGUUAUAUCUUUCAGUAGACAAAAGCAACACAAAAGAAGAUGUCUUUUUGUGUUAUGCUUACAUUUGAACAAUUUCUUUUCAAACUCUUUUAGUAUUCAAGUAGUCGAUAUAAACCAUUUUAUUGUGAUUCCUCUUUUAUGUAAGCUCAUACUCGUUUGUGCAUCUAGAGAAAUCAAAGAAGUGGUGCGCGUAUUAACAUCUGGUUUAAAAGAGAGCCAUCAUCAUUUCUGAAAACUUUAUGAUUUUUUUGUUUUGUUUUUAUAAAAAACUGUUGAACUACAGUUAUUCUAUUUGCUUGGUUAAAUAUAUGUAGCAGUCACGGCUACUGAGAAGUGCAGUUACUGGAUAUAACUCGCACUUUUGUAUAUUAAAUUUUCUUAGCGGGGACCUUUACUUUUACUCUUACUGGUUGAGUCAUUAUUAGCACAAUUGAAGUAUAUCUGAAUUAUUUAUUCCUGGAGGCUUGUUGAAAUCAGAGUUUGUCACUUAUCUGGAAUGUGUUUCUAUAGGUAUUUAGAUGAAGUAUGAAGUCUACAAUGUUAAGAAUGAUGUCUCAUUAGCUAUUGUUAUUGUCCUGCAUCUUCUUAUUUUCUAUAAACUAUAAAUGAAUAUUUAUACAGAUAGUUGGUUGGUGCUGGAUUGAAUUCAAUGUUCUAGUGCGUAUGUUUAUGCUAACAGAUCCGCUCCUCUCGUUGCAAGAAAUAACUAGUUCUCUGCGUCCUCUUGACAAAAGUGAAUCAGUUCCCAGUAUGCUCAAACUGAAAGUACUUCACUUUUACUAACUCAUUUGAUGAUUUGUUUUAUCAUUUAGUUGUAGUACAUACUUAGAGGAGUUGUUUCUUUCUUACGCUUAUAUCUUUCCAAUUUGUAAGCGAAAGAUUGCCACCCUGUUGAAUCUCAAAACAUGGAGCUUGCAACAAUAAGUACUUUUUAGAUAUAUAUUUUGUCUCCCUUGGGCAGUUUAUGUACUAAAUUACCUAGUGCUUGACACUUGAAAGUGGAUGCCAUUUACAUUGUUUAUUUUCUUUUUUAGAAAAUUGCUGAGAUUGCUCAUGAUAAUGGUUCUCUUGUGCUGGUGGAUAAAAAUAUAAUGUCCCCUGCAGGAGUCCUUGAUGUCAGGGUAUGAGCAGCAAAUUGAAUAUCCAUUCAUCUAUUUUAAGUAAUGUCGUAGACUUCCUAUUAUUACCUUGUCAAGCAAGUCCAAGAUUGGAAGGAUGAAAACUUGUGUUUUUUUCGUGUGCAGGUUAUACAUAUUUAUGGAAAGCUUUCACCCCCCACCCCCUAGUUGUGUGAAGAACCCUGGUUUGGCUCUAAGUUAUCAUCUGGUUACAAACUUUGCUGCAUUAAGCUCGGGCUCGACCUUCUAUAAGGUCUUCAAAAUGAAACCAACAGUACUAAGAAAUCAUCGAAGAUUUACAACUAGUGAUGAUGGAAAGAUGAAACUCCGGGAAAUGCGCUUCCUCCAACUUUAUACUGAUGUUUGAGCAAUUGAGCAUGUUGAUUUUGAUAGGCUGGUAAACUACCAACUUCUUAAGUUUUAUGACUUUUGGUUAUCUUGUCUUUGAUUAACUUUGGUUUUUUGCUUAAGUUUUCUGUUUCGCACACUUGUAACAAGGUCUUGUGGUUACAAGAACUGAUUUUCACUGGACAUUUUUGGGUUGCUGAGAAGUUCAGCUUACUUGAACAAUAUAUAAUGGAAAUAGAUAGGCAGCAAAAGGUAAACGCUGCACCCACGUUGUGAUUGCGUAUCUAUACGAUUUGUUAUUGAAGGGAUUCAUUUGGCAUGAAAUAAUAACCUGUUGCAUAGUUUGAUUUGGAACAUUUUCUUGAACUGUAUGAGUAGUUACACCUUGAUGUAGCAAUUCAACUUUUAAACUUCAAACACUUAUGGUGUUAAUAAUUUCUCGGAUCUGUACCCUGGCUUUGUUAACAACUUCAAACACUUUGAUGUUCAUCUAGUUUGGUUAUCAUAGCCCUGAGAUUACUGAUGCUACUUUAUAUGUGUGAAUUUAUGUUCGUCCAAUUUUAUUAAGAAAUUCUUUUAGUUUCACCCUUUUCUGGUGUUUCUGUGUUCGAUGUGGGUUUGAAUUUUUUUCAUUGUUCUUGAUCGGUGAAUAUGGUUCAUACAUUCGAAUUGCUAAGAACUAUACCUUGCUUCCAUUUUGACAGGAGGGGUAUAUUUUUUUUAGUUGGCAUUUUGCCGUAAUAGAAAGGGUAUAUGUUUUAGUUGUGCAAGUCUGAUCCCAAUUGUCCAUUUGUCAGUUGCUUUCAGUUUUUAUUUAAGAUAUUAAAUUUGAAACAUUUUUUGUUUAUACAGGGAAGGGAUAAUUGCUAGUGGAACUCCUAUUUCAGAUCAUUCUAUUGAUUCUUAUUUCUUUUUAUGGUUUGACUUGUUUUUUGUUACGGUGAUACAUUUGAUUUAUGUAGUUGGUCGUCGAGUUUUCGCUACCAAUGCCUUCUGUACAUCUCAUAAAGGCGAUGCAGAUCUUCUUCUUUUUUUAUAUAUGUUAUGCAUUACAGGUACAUAAACUAAGGAAGGAAAAGGCCCACGAACUGGAUGUAAAUGAAGUACAAUGGAGCUCUCAGGUACACCAUUAUGAAGUAAGAAUAAGUUCUUCAUCAUCAUCGGAUUUUUGUUGUUUAAUCAAUAGUUUUUUAUUUCAUCGUUUUGUAAUCGAAUCCUAGAACUACAGAUUACACUGGUCAGAACUACAGAUUUUAAUCCUUUGUGUAAUUUGAAACCAAUGAAUCAAUGAAUGUUAAAUUGAAUGAUUAUUUGUGUGCAAGCUUAA